UCUGUGCUUUGCCACACUUUUCUCUUUAAUCUAGAUUAAUCAUAUUGGUAAGGAGAUGAUGUGGUGGGCAGGGGAGCAGUAUAUUUUCUGGAAAUUGAACUCCUUGCUUGCUGUGCUAAGGUGACCCUGUAGAUUCUGUUAGGUUUUCUAAGGCCUAUUUCCUAUUGUAAGAGGUGGUGUGAGAAGCAAUUUCUGUGAUGGAAGGAGCAUCCUGAGACAGGGAACAGCCACUUCAGACUGGGCUUGAGAUGCUGGGAGGAGACUUCUCUGUGAGCCCAGACAGGAACUUCCCUGCAGGGCAGGAGCUGAGCUGCGGGGGACACUCAGUACACACCCAGCCAAGGAUCCAGCCCUGGAGCAGGUGCACAGUAGGAGGGGAGGGUUUUUUCCCUCUGGGAUUGAAUAUUCCUUCUUUCAAAGCAAUAAUGACAUAAAAUUUAAAUAAGAAUUUAGUAAGUACUGAUAUGUCUUUAGGUAUUCUCUUGCAUAUACAGCCUAUACCUAACCCAAUAAUUUAGCAAACCACACUUCAAAGGAGAAAUGUCUAGGCCUUUCAAAUGUAAUUAUAGUUAGGAAUUGAGGGGUGGUUUUAUUAAUUCAAUGGGUGUUAUUAUCGGGAGACACACUUAUCCCAGAAGUUAGAUGUGCAGAGGGCACGGCCCAGGAAAAGCUCAGGUUGCCAGUGUACCAUAGGAACAAGGAAUCACACUGAGGACCAUGCUCUGUGAGACUCUGGGUUUCUGUGAGAGGGAUUCUGUCUUCAUGGACUUCUGAGCACACCAGAGGACAAAUAUCAUUAAACAAAGUUCAGAGCAGGUAGCUCAGCAUCCCACUGUGGUGUGGUCCAGGUGCCACCUCUCCUCUUCCUCAGGGUGGGGUGGCUUGAGCUAUGAAAUAUCUGCCUCAUGAAUAUGCAAAUUCACUGGUGUCUACCGAAGUAAAUACAGAUCUGUCCUUGCCCGGAGAGCAUCACACAACAACCACAUCCCUCCCCUACAGAAACCCCAGAGCACAGCACCUCACCAUGGACUCGUCCUGGAGGGUCCUCCUCUUGGUGGCAGCAGCUACAGGUGCCCACUCUCAAGUGCAGCUGGUGCAGUCAGGGGCUGAGGUGAAGAAGCCUGGGGCCUCCGUGAAGGUCUCCUGCAAGGCUUCUGGAUACACCUUCACCAACUACUACAUGAGCUGGGUGCGACAGGCCCCUGGACAAGGGCUUGAGUGGAUGGGACGUAUUGAUCCUGAAAAUGGUAAUACAAGAUACGCACAGAAUUUCCAGGGCAGAGUCACCAUGACCGCAGACACGUCCACGAGCACAGCCUACAUGGAGCUGAGCAGCCUGAGAUCUGAGGACACGGCUGUGUAUUACUGUGCGAGAGACACAGUGUGAAAACCCACAUCCUGAGAGUGUCAGAAACCCCAGGGAGGAGGCAGCUGUGCUGGGGCUGAAGAGAUGAUAGGACGUAUAAGGUUUAAACGUGUUUAGAAAAUGGGUUAAGUUAUGAAUGAAAAGAAGCA